rnacentral:rRNA from 1 species
CACGUAGGGUGCGAGCGUUGUCCGGAAUUAUUGGGCGUAAAGAGCUCGUAGGCGGUGUGUCGCGUCGGCCGUGAAAACCUGCAGCUUAACUGUGGGCUUGCGGUCGAUACGGGCAUCACUGGAGUUCGGCAGGGGAGACUGGAAUACUUGGUGUAGCAGUGAAAUGCGUAGAUAUCAAGUGGAACACCAGUGGCGAAGGCGAGUCCCUGGACAACUCCUGACACUGAGGCACGAAAGCUAGGGGAGCAAACAGG